GUAGACCUGGGUAAUGAGGACUAUAGGGAUCAGAGGUAGACCUGGGUAAUGAGGACUAUAGGGAUCGGAGGUAGACCUGGGUAAUGAGGACUAUAGGGAUUGGAGGUAGACCUGGGUAAUGAGGACUAUAGGGAUUGGAGGUAGACCUGGGUAAUGAGGACUAUAGGGAUUGGAGGUGGACCUGGGUAAUGAGGACUAUAGGGAUUGGAGGUAGACCUGGGUAAUGAGGACUAUAGGGAUUGGAGGUUGACCUGGGUAAUGAGGACUAUUAGGGAUUGGAGGUUGACCUGGGUAAUGAGGACUAUAGGGAUUGGAGGUUGACCUGGGUAAUGAGGACUAUUAGGGAUUGGAGGUGGACCUGGGUAAUGAGGACUAUAGGGAUUGGAGGUGGACCUGGGUAAUGAGGACUAUUAGGGAUUGGAGGUGGACCUGGGUAAUGAGGACUAUAGGGAUUGGAGGAAGACCUGGGUAAUGAGGACUAUAGGGAUUGGAGGUGGACCUGGGUAAUGAGGACUAUAGGGAUUGGAGGUGGACCUGGGUAAUGAGGACUAUAGGGAUUGGAGGAAGACCUGGGUAAUGAGGACUAUAGGGAUUGGAGGUAGACCUGGGUAAUGAGGACUAUAGGGAUUGGAGGUAGACCUUGGUAAUGAGGACUAUAGGGAUUGGAGGUAGAUCUGGGUAAUGAGAGCUAUAAGGAUUAGAGGUAGAAAAGGUAAAAUUAGUCAAUGAGAAAUUGUUUGGUGUCAAAGCUCUUUUACUAGGCAAACAUAGGAUUGACAGAAUUCAUUGUUAGAACAGGAACACAUCUUAUCGGCCCCUCUUCCAGGGUCAGGAACACACAGCUUCUAGGCCCCUCCUCCAGGGUCAGGAACACACAGCUUAUAGGCCCAUCCUCCAAGGUCAGGAGCACAGCUUAUCUACUCCUCGCCAGGUACACAUCUUAUAGGCCCCUCCUCCAAGGUCAGGUACACAGCUUGUAGGCCCUCCUCCAAGGUCAGGAACACAGCUUAUCGGCCCCUCCUCCAAGGUCAGGAGCACAGCUUAUAGGCCCCUCCUCCAGGGUCAGGAGCACACAGCUUAUAGGCCCCUCCUCCAGAGUCAGGUACACACAUCUUAUAAGCCCCUCCUCCAGGGUCAGGUACACACAGCUUAUAAGCCCCUCCUCCAGGGUCAGGUACACACAGCUUAUAGGCCCCUCCUCCAGGGUCAAGUAUACAGCUUAUGGGCCCCUCCUCCAGGGUCUGGUACACAGCUUAUCUUCUCCUUGUCAGGAACACAGAUUAUGUGCCCCUCCUCCAGGGUCAGGAACAAAAUGUGAUGGUUCCGAGUCCAUCGUAUAGUAGGGAGGUCCCACUCUAUGGCCAUUUAGUUUGUCUUGUUUUAGUUGUUGUGAUUUUUUUGUUGAAAUAAAGAGGCCAUUUUCAGUACA